UAGCAUAUCAAUAAGCGGAGGAAAAGAAACCAACAGGGAUUGCCCUAGUAACGGCGAGUGAAGCGGCAACAGCUCAAAUUUGAAAUCUGGCUCUUUUAGAGUCCGAGUUGUAAUUUGCAGAGGGCGCUUUGGCGUUGGCAGCGGUCCAAGUUCCUUGGAACAGGACGUCACAGAGGGUGAGAAUCCCGUACGUGGUCGCUAACCUUCGCCGUGUAAAGCCCCUUCGACGAGUCGAGUUGUUUGGGAAUGCAGCUCUAAAUGGGAGGUAAAUUUCUUCUAAAGCUAAAUACUGGCCAGAGACCGAUAGCGCACAAGUAGAGUGAUCGAAAGAUGAAAAGCACUUUGGAAAGAGAGUCAAAUAGCACGUGAAAUUGUUAAAAGGGAAGCGCUUGCAGCCAGACUUGCCUGUAGUUGCUCAUCCGGACUUCUGUCCGGUGCACUCUUCUAUAGGCAGGCCAGCAUCAGUUUGGGCGGUUAGAUAAAGGUCUCUGUCAUGUACCUCCUUUCGGGGAGGCCUUAUAGGGGAGACGACAUGUAACCAGCCUGGACUGAGGUCCGCGCAUUUAUGCUAGGAUGCUGGCGUAAUGGCUGUAAGCGGCCCGUCUUGAAACACGGACCAAGGAGUCUAACAUCUAUGCGAGUGUUUGGGUGUCAAGCCCGAACGCGUAAUGAAAGUGAACGGAGGUGGGAACCCUUUAGGGUGCACCAUCGACCGAUCCUGAUGUCUUCGGAUGGAUUUGAGUAAGAGCAUGGCUGUUGGGACCCGAAAGAUGGUGAACUAUGCUUGAAUAGGGUGAAGCCAGAGGAAACUCUGGUGGAGGCUCGCAGCGGUUCUGACGUGCAAAUCGAUCGUCAAAUUUGGGCAUAGGGGCGAAAGACUAAUC
rnacentral:rRNA from 1 species